rnacentral:rRNA from 1 species
GACGAACGCUGGCGGCGUGCUUAACACAUGCAAGUCGAACGGGAUCCGGGCUUUCGGGUUUGGUGAGAGUGGCGAACGGGUGAGUAACACGUGAGUAACCUGCCCCCUUCUUUGGGAUAACGUCGGGAAAUCGGCGCUAAUACUGGAUAUUCUUGCUGCAUCGCAUGGUGUGGUUUGGAACGGGUUUCUGGUGGGUGAUGGUCUCGCGGCCUAUCAGCUUGUUGGUGGGGUGAUGGCCUACCAAGGCUUUGACGGGUAGCCGGCCUGAGAGGGUGUCCGGCCACACUGGGACUGAGACACGGCCCAGACGCCUACGGGAGGCAGCAGUGGGGAAUAUUGCACAAUGGGCGCAAGCCUGAUGCAGCGACGCCGCGUGAGGGAUGACGGCCUUCGGGUUGUAAACCUCUUUCAGUAUGGAACAAGGAGCCUUCUUUUGGGGGGUUUGAGGGUACGUGCAGAAGAAGCGCCGGCUAACUACGUG